UCUGAGUUAAAAGCUCAGCACUAACCUUGCCUUGACUGAUCAGGACUCCUCAGGUCACCUUCUCACAAUGAGGCUCCCUGCUCAGCUCCUGGGACUGCUAAUGCUCUGGCUUCCUGGAUCCAGUGGGGACAUUGUGAUGACCCAGACUCCACUCUCCCUGCCCGUCACCCCUGGAGAGCCGGCCUCCAUCUCCUGCAGGUCUAGUCAGAGCCUCUUUGAUAGUGAUUAUGGAUACACCUAUUUGGAUUGGUACCUGCAGAAGCCGGGCCAGUCUCCACAGCUCUUGAUCUAUGAGGUUUCCAACCGGGCCUCUGGAGUCCCAGACAGGUUCAGUGGCAGUGGGUCAGACACUGAUUUCACACUGAAAAUCAGCAGGGUGGAGGCUGAGGAUGUUGGGGUGUAUUACUGCAUGCAAGCUCUAGAGCUUCCUCCCACAGUGGUACAGCCCGGAACAGAAACCUCCCUGCUGGUGUGUCUCAGCUGCUCACAUGUGCUGCUUGUCUGGGGAGCAGUUCAGCAGGGUCUCUGA